GUCUACGCCCAUACCACUGUGAACGUGCCCGAUCUUGUUUGAUCUCAGAAGCUAAGCAGGGUCAGGCCUGGUUAGUACUUGGAUGGGAGACCAAAAGUGGCACAAUAAGGAAUUGACA
rnacentral:rRNA from 1 species